rnacentral:tRNA from 1 species
GGGGGUGUAGUUCAAUUGGCAGAACAGCGGUCUUCAAAACCGCGUGUUGUGGGUUCGAGUCCUUCCACCCCCGCCA